rnacentral:rRNA from 1 species
UUAAAUCAGUUAUACUUUGUUUGAUGGUAUCUACUACUCGGAUAACUGUACUAAUUCUAGAGCUAAUACGUGCAACAAACCCCGACUUCUGGAAGUGAUGCAUUUAUUAGAUAAAAGGUUGAUGCGGGCUCUGCCAGUUGCUGCGAUGAUUCAUGAUAACUCGACGCAUCAUUCAAAUUUCUGCCCUAUGAACUUUUGAUGGUAGGACAGUGGCCUACCAUGGUGGUGACGGGUGAUGGAGAAUUAGGGUUCGAUUCUG